UACGUAGGGUCCGAGCGUUGUCCGGAAUUAUUGGGCGUAAAGGGCUCGUAGGCGGUUCGUCACGUCGGGAGUGAAAACUCGGAGCUUAACUCCGAGCCUGCUUCCGAUACGGGCAGACUAGAGGUAGGCAGGGGAGAGCGGAACUCCUGGUGUAGCGGUGGAAUGCGCAGAUAUCAGGAAGAACACCGGUGGCGAAGGCGGUUAGCUGGGCAGUUGCUGACACUGAGGCGCGACAGCGUGGGGAGCAAACAGG
rnacentral:rRNA from 1 species